UCCUUGCAGCUAGUUAUGAAAACAGCCGACAUGAUCAUUGAAAGAUCCCCGAAGGGAGACCCUCACUCAAGUCUCGGGAAGUCACGGACCCCAGACACACGAGAGACC
rnacentral:pre_miRNA from 14 species